AUACGGAGGGUGCAAGCGUUACUCGGAAUCACUGGGCGUAAAGGAUGCGUAGGCGGAUAAUCAAGUCAAAAGUGAAGUCCCACGGCUUAACCGUGGAACUGCUUUCGAAACUGGUUAUCUAGAAUAUGGAAGAGGCAGAUGGAAUUAGUGGUGUAGGGGUAAAAUCCGUAGAGAUCACUAGGAAUACCGAUUGCGAAGGCGAUCUGCUGGGACAUUAUUGACGCUGAGGCAUGAAAGCGUGGGGAGCAAACAGGAUUAGAAACCCUAGUAGUCC
rnacentral:rRNA from 1 species